CUCCUGCCUCAGCCUCUGAAGUGCUGGGAUUACAGGGAGGAAGAGAGCAGGGCCACUGAACAGCCUGAACGUCACAAGGGUCUGACAGCUCUGCCAGGUGGCACCGCCUCUAACAUGGGAAGAACAAAGGGUGGAUGCCCUGCGUGCUCACGGCUCCCUCUGCCCAGUGCUUUCAGCCUCCGUCCUGCUCCAGCCCCAAGAUGUGAGGAGUUCCAAAACACACAAUAGGAUUAACAAUGCGAUUUUAUUUCCACUAUACUACACACUGGCAUACAAAUAACUUGUCCAUUUAUUUUUCUAUUUUCACUUCCAAUUUGUGCAUUUAACAGGAACUAAGACAGCAAGCUAUAGUUCCAGGACUGGAGACACAUUUUCUUCAUUGCAGCAGAAUGGAACCAAAGUGCUUACUACAGCAAGUUCUGACCCCUGCAGAAUUUGACCCUGUCAGUAUCUAAUCUUUUCUCUGUUCCAGUCGUCAGCUUUCUCAAAGGAAUGAUAAGAGACCAAAAAAGAAACAAAGGUAAAUGA